rnacentral:rRNA from 1 species
AACGAACGCUGGCGGCAUGCCUAACACAUGCAAGUCGAACGAGACCUUCGGGUCUAGUGGCGCACGGGUGCGUAACGCGUGGGAACCUGCCCUUGGGUUCGGAAUAACAGUUGGAAACGACUGCUAAUACCGGAUGAUGACGUAAGUCCAAAGAUUUAUCGCCCAAGGAUGAGCCCGCGUAGGAUUAGCUAGUUGGUGAGGUAAAGGCUCACCAAGGCGACGAUCCUUAGCUGGUCUGAGAGGAUGAUCAGCCACACUGGGACUGAGACACGGCCCAGACUCCUACGGGAGGCAGCAGUGGGGAAUAUUGGACAAUGGGCGAAAGCCUGAUCCAGCAAUGCCGCGUGAGUGAUGAAGGCCUUAGGGCUGUAAAGCUCUUUUACCCGGGAUGAUAAUGACAGUACCGGGAGAAUAAGCUCCGGCUAACUCCGUG